AGUAGGGCGGGUACCUAGCCCUGGCCUCCCUGGCGAAGCCUCGGUUCAUGACUGCCUUCCUGUGGCUGAAAGCAUCAAAGCUGAACUUCCCAUGAUAGGCGCCCGUGCCACUCUCCCCAACUCCUCCAAAUGGCAGAGCGUUCCUCCUGCAGAAAUGGCCCCCUCGAACUGGUUCUGGAGCUCACUGUCCCUGGUGAAGAGGUAAGCUGCAAGUGGCUUAGCCAUUGAGUUGAUGAGACCGAAGCUUUCAUGGAUCUUGUCAACCUGAAAGGAAAAGAGAACAUUCGACUCAGAUGCACAUCAUGUACCACCAGUAAUCUCUUGUGCUUUUUUUUGAGGGGAAUCUUAUGGGUCAAAAAUGUAGUAAAAUUCUCUGAAUCUGAGAGAGUUGGCUCUGACCGUGAGGAUCGGAAGCAAGGGCCCGAAUAUUUCAUCCUUCAUGAUGGCGGAAUCGAGAGGGACAUCUAGGAAUAUUGUAGGGGCGAUCUUCCUGCGGUACGAUAAAGAAAAGAUAUGUGGGCAGAUCAACCAAACGCAUUAUGCGCAUGAUGGUAGUUUGCUAGAGUUGGUAAUGUGAAGAUGGAAUCCACUCACA